rnacentral:rRNA from 1 species
GACGUAGGAGGCGAGCGUUGUCCGGAUUCAUUGGGCGUAAAGAGCGCGCAGGCGGCUUGGUAAGUCGGAUGUGAAAUCCCGAGGCUCAACCUCGGGUCUGCAUCCGAUACUGCCCGGCUAGAGGUAGGUAGGGGAGAUCGGAAUUCCUGGUGUAGCGGUGAAAUGCGCAGAUAUCAGGAGGAACACCGGUGGCGAAGGCGGAUCUCUGGGCCUUACCUGACGCUGAGGCGCGAAAGCUAGGGGAGCGAACAGG